rnacentral:lncRNA from 1 species
ACGAUCUCCUACUUUGCAGGCUCAGUUUUUUAAGGUCAUGAGAGGAUUCUGAUCCUUUUGAAAAGGUAUGGUACCAUCAUUCUCGUAAUUAUUUAUUUUCUUUUUCUCUGUAAAGGGUUUUGAAGAAGUCUGCAAUUUCAGUUAGUCUUUUGGGAAAUUACAAAUAAAAUAAUUUUUUAUUAUUUUAUAAAAUAACAAUAAUAAUAUUUUAUUGCCUAUUACUAUGACUAUUCAGUUUAGAGGUGGAGAUGCAAAAGACAAUUAUUGUUCAUUAAAUGCAGUUAUUAUUCAAUAGAGGAGAUUCAAUUGCCAAUUACUAUGGGGAAUCCUUACACACUGGAAGUGCUUUAAGCAAAGUGAAGUUGUUAAAUUGGCAAUAGGCAGAUUAUUAUAAUUAGUUAAUGAAUGACAGAUCAAAUCAAUGUAUACAUUAGUCUAUGAAAUUUGGGGUGUCACACACUUAAAAGAUAAUCUUUAGUAUAUAUUGACAAUGCACAAGUACAUCUGCUGCCUAAUCAAUUUGGUUGGCAGGAUUUAAUUUCCUUCCAUACUUGCAAUUAAGAAUUCAUGAUUCAAGAAUAUUUGCUUGAAGUAAGAUAAUAAGGAAUUAAUUUGGUAAGCAUUAUUUUUCAAUUGUUUGAGUAAUAUAUUGGACCGACGAGAAAUUACAACACGAGAAAGUUAUAAAUAAUUGAGAAACAAAAGAGAAAUCACAAAGAUCACAUAUUAGUAUAUAUGAAUAUUGGCGAUGAAGAAUUUUGUGGCAGUUUAUGAUGUUUUUAUUUUUUGUCAAAUGACAUUUUAUGUUGUUGAAUUACUUUAAAAAGUUGUAUAUUUAGCAAGAGAAACAUUCAGUUUUUUUUUUUUUAAAAGGUGAAUAUUUUAACCAACAAUUUAAAUGGUAUUAUGGUAAACCCCAUUUUCCACGACCUGGAUGAUGAAACAUGGUAAUAUGAAAUACUGAACAUUGCAGGAAAAAUAAUAGCGAAAUAUGCUGAUAAAAGGAAUUUACCUGAUGUGUUUGUUAGGGAAGUUAAUUGUUAUACAUUGCAUGGAGGUAAAUUAAUAUGCAGUACGAAGUUGUUAACAGACAAUAUAUCAUGACAUACCUAUACAUUUUUCAUGAGCAACUCAGCCAUGAUGAAGAAUAUAUAUGUACCACAGCCACAACAUCUGGGGUCCAUAGCUCAGAGGUAUGCCUCACGCUUGUAACAAGACUCAACAAGUUAUAUAUAUAUGUACCACAGCCACAACAUCUGGGGUCCAUAGCUCAAAGGUAUGCCUCACGCUUGCAACAAGACUCAAUAAGUUAUAUAUAUAAUGCCUCGUUAAUUUGCAGAUAUAUAGACUUUUCUUCAGUGUAAUUAACCGUACUUUUUUACAAUGCAAAUUUAUUGUCGAUGUAUACAUUAACACAGUUGAAAAUAAAACUCAACAAAUUUCCUAACACUUCUUUUGAAAGAACCAUUUUCUUAACUUGAAACAAAACCGAUUAUUAAUAUGAAGAAUGGUUAGAUUUGAUAGCCUGACAAGUUACAACAUAGUAUACAAUACCUCAAACUUGUGUAACAAGGUAACAUUUCUCUAUGAUGUUAAUGGGUGUAAUUAACACGGUAACAUGAUAACAUAACAGCUGCAUAGCUAAUACCUGCACAAUCAAAGUCUAAAUCAUCCUAUAAGCCUUAAUCUCAAAGUCUAAAUCAUAUCUAGUUAUUUUCCUCUAAAACCUUUAGUGCUACUUUAAUCCAUAUCACUAUAUCAACAAAUUUUGGAACCUAUAUAUAAUAAUCAUAAGGGACACAGGAGGAGCUGCUCACUCACCCAUAAAUAGGGUUCAUGUGAUGGGUUCCCAUUAAAUUAAUGUUCCUAAUCCCACUUUCCAACCAGGAACCACAUGAUAUUUUUCAUAUAAUAAAUAAAUGUAGUAAUGAAUAUAAACCAAAACUUAUAUAAAAAUAGUCACAAAUGAUCCCUCUUUCAUUGAUUUUUAUCUAACACCUAUCGUUUAUGAGAUUAGAACUCAAAAUAUUUUUCGACAAAGUUGAGAGACUAACAACGGUGGACCAAAUAUUCAGUAAGAAAUAGAAAAAGAAAACCACAUAGGAAACUUUAUAUCUCAUUGCAGGUACACAUUAUGCUUGCUCUUACUUAUAGGUCAUGUGUUGGGAGCAGGAGUUGGUGCGUCUAGAGACUGAAUUUAUUUUGCGGGUCAACGUUCACUAUCAUAGUUACUUCAUAAUAAUUCUACUGCAUGCCCAUAUCAUCAUUAAUUUUUAUUAACAAAUGAUAUUAUUUACAAAGGUUUUUAUCACAAAUGAUCCCUGAAAUUGACCUUCAUCAUCAAGAUGAUUCAUGAAAUUGAAAAUCAAUUAAUGUAAUCCCUGAAAAUAUGUGUCACAAAUCAAUGUGGUCAUUCUAUCAUAAUUCUGUUAAAAAAUCCAUUAAGUGCUGAUGUGACACAUAAAUAGGCGCCACAAAAUUAUGAUUUUAUCACAAAUGGUCCCUGAAAUUGACUCACAUCAUCAAGAUGGUCCUUGAAAUUGACCUACACUAUCAAGAUGGUCCCUAAAAUUGAAAAUCGGUUAAUGUAGUCCUUGAAAAUAGGUAUCGUGAAUCAAUAUGAUCAUUCCGCCACAAUUCUGUAAAAAAAAAUUUUAUGUGCUGAUGUGAGUUUACUAAUUAAUUAAAAAAUUGUCUAAAUACCUUUUUGCACAAUGAAAUUUUUUUCUUAUAGUAGGACCUACUUCGAAGAUUUGGGACACUUACUUGCGAGACUAAAUUGAUUGAUUUUCAAAUUUAGAGACCAUUUUGAUGUCGCAGGUCAAUUUCAGGGACCAUUUUAAUGUUGCGGGUCAAUUCUAAGGACCAUUUGUGAGAAAAAUAUAUAUAUGAGACCCAUUUAUGUGCAACAUCAGCACUUAACUGAAUCUUUAACUGAAUUGUGACUGAAAGAUCAUAUUGAUUUGCGACACCUAUUUUUAUGGACUAAACUAAACUAAUUAAUUUUUAAUUUCAGAGACUAUAUUAAUGGUAAAGGUCAAUUUCAGGAACCAUUUGUGAAGAAAAAAAAAACCUAUUAAAAAAUAAGUUGACGUAUGAAAAGAAAAAUAGUAAUUAAAAACUAAAAAUUAAUAGAAAAAUCCUUUUUUUUAAUCCUUUGUCCCACUACUUCUUUCUAUAUCUUAUAACUUUCCUAGCAAAAAUAUCUCAUGUGCCGUAUUGCUAGUUAUUAACAACGAAAAGGUUAUUUGGAUUUCAUGAAGUAAUUUGUAAAACUAAAUUUAUGCAGACUUUAAUUAAUGAUGGGUUCUAAAAUAUUUAAGGGUGUUACUGGCACUAUGGUCCAGGAGUAAUAGUACUUUUUAUAAAUAAAAAAAUCUUAAGUUUGGACUCUCAUAAGAAUUUGAUACCAAUUAUUCCUAACACAUUGUGUAGUUUACUGCAAUUUAUCUCUAAUAAUAUAUCUCAAAGAUAAAUUGAAUCUGAUAUAAAAGGUAUACUAGUGAAAUAAAGGAUAUUGAUGUCUAGUUGUGUACAUACUCAUAUAAAAUGGUCGGAUAAAUAACAACAACAACAACAACCAAGUCUUAUCUUACUCAGUAGGAUCGGCUGUAUGAAUUAUAGAAUGCCACUAUGCUUGAUUUUGCGUCAAUAUUCUGUUAGCUCCAUGUCCGUUUCUUUUCUUAAAGUCUUUUUCAAAAUCUUUCUCUAUCUUUUUUGCUUUGAGCCUCAUUUUCAUAAUCACAUCUUCUAACUGGAGCAUAUAUGGGUCUUCAAUUCAUGUGUCCAAACCAUCUUAACCGAUUUUCUCUCAUCUUAUCUUCAACUGCGGGCACUCCUAUUUUACCUUAGAUAUCAUUGUUCUUAAUCCUAUCAUUUCUCGUAUACCCACACAUCUAAGCAUUCUCAUAUCUGCUACACUCAUUUAUUGCACGUAUUGCUUUUUGACCGCCUAACAUUUUGUGCCAUAAAACAUUGCUGGCUUUAUUGCCUUCCUAUAAAAUUUUCCAUUAAGCUUUACUGGUAUAUGAUGAUCGCACAACACACUUGAUGCUCUCUUCCACUUCAUCCAUUUAGCUUAUGUUCUAUGGUUGAGAUCUCCAUCUAAUUCUUUGUUCUUUUGCAAGAUAGAUCCAAGAUAUUGAAAAUGUUCACUCUUUGGUAUUUCUUGAUCUCCAAUCCUUAACCCUAUAUCAUUUAGACCCACAUUCCCACCAAACUUGCAGUCCAUAUACUCCGUCUUUGACCUACUUAGGCGAAAACCUUUAGAUUUCAAUACUUCCCACCAAAUGUUAAGCUUCACAUUUACUCCCUUAUGCAUUUCAUCUAUCAGCACUAUAUCAUAUGAGAAAAGCAUAUACCAAGGGAUAUCAUCUUGAAUAUGUCCUUUUACCUCGUCCAUUACCAAAACAAAAAAGUAAGAACUUAAAGAUAAGCCUUGGUAUAACCCUAUGGUUAUCGAAAAGCUUACAGUUUAUCCUUUAUGAGUUCUUUUUGUAGUCCUUAUUCUAUCCUACAUAUCCUUUAUUGCUUGGAUAUAUGCCACUCAUAUGCUUUUUAUAGAUCUAUAAACACUAUGUGCAAAUUCUUUUUGCAUAUCUAUAUAUCGUUCCAUCUAUCUCCAUAAGAGAUAGAUUGCCUCCUUAGUUGAGCAGUCUGGCAUGAACCUAAAUUGAAUGUCUUAGACCUAUAUCUCUUACCUUAGUUUAUGCUCAAAUACUCUUUUCCAAAGUUGUAUUGUAUGACUCAUAACUUAAUUUUCCUAUAGUUCAUGCAGUUUUGUAUGUCGACCUUAUUCUUGUAAAUAGGCACCAAAGUACUUUUUUGCCACUCAUUUGGCAUCUUCUUCCUUUUCAAAAUCUCAUUGAAAAGGUUUGUGAGCCAUGCUAUGCCC